AUGGAGCAACCCUCGCUUGUGGAUCCAAUGCGGGUGGAUGACUUGGUGGCCCCCAGCACACUGAUGGGAAACCAGUCAAUGGAGACGCAGAAGAUCUCCUCGGAGCCAGGGACGUAUGGAGAGAAGGGAGCAGAUCAGCUCUUGACUGAUGGAUGGGCCCCAGUGGAGGAUAUACUACGGUCCAACACAGAUGGGGCGAGCAGUGCGCUGGUGGAGGAGGCAGCCACAUCGGAUACCGUGCCCAUCCACCCAAUGGUGGGUUUGGAGACCACUGUACAUGAUGUGACCACGUCGAUCCCAUGCAGUGAGCCAAGGAAUGUGAAUUUUGAGCUCUGA
rnacentral:rRNA from 1 species